rnacentral:rRNA from 1 species
UACGUAGGGAGCAAGCGUUGUCCGGAAUCAUUGGGCGUAAAGAGCGUGUAGGCGGCCCGGUAAGUCCGCUGUGAAAGUCCAGGGCUCAACCCUGGGAUGCCGGUGGAUACUGUCGGGCUCGAGUCCGGGAAGAGGAGUGUGGAAUUCCUGGUGUAGCGGUGAAAUGCGCAGAUAUCAGGAGGAACACCAAUGGCGAAGGCAGCUCGCUGGGACGGUACUGGACGCUGAGACGCGAAAGCGUGGGGAGCAAACAGG